rnacentral:rRNA from 1 species
UGGGGAAUAUUGCACAAUGGGGGAAACCCUGAUGCAGCGACGCCGCGUGAAGGAAGAAGGUCUUCGGAUUGUAAACUCCUGUUGUUGAGGAAGAUAAUGACGGUACUCAACAAGGAAGUGACGGCUAACUACGUGCCAGCAGCCGCGGUAAAACGUAGGUCACAAGCGUUGUCCGGAAUUACUGGGUGUAAAGGGAGCGCAGGCGGGAAGACAAGUUGGAAGUGAAAUCCAUGGGCUCAACCCAUGAACUGCUUUCAAAACUGUUUUUCUUGAGUAGUGCAGAGGUAGGCGGAAUUCCCGGUGUAGCGGUGGAAUGCGUAGAUAUCGGGAGGAACACCAGUGGCGAAGGCGGCCUACUGGGCACCAACUGACGCUGAGGCUCGAAAGUGUGGGUAGCAAACAGGAUUAGAUACCCUGGUAGUCCACACCGUAAACGAUGAUUACUAGGUGUUGGAGGAUUGACCCCUUCAGUGCCGCAGUUAACACAAUAAGUAAUCCACCUGGGGAGUACGACCGCAAGGUUGAAACUCAAAGGAAUUGACGGGGGCCCGCACAAGCAGUGGAGUAUGUGGUUUAAUUCGACGCAACGCGAAGAACCUUACCAAGUCUUGACAUCCCUUGACGAUGCUGGAAACAGUAUUUCUCUUCGGAGCAAGGAGACAGGUGGUGCAUGGUUGUCGUCAGCUCGUGUCGUGAGAUGUUGGGUUAAGUCCCGCAACGAGCGCAACCCUUAUGGUCAGUUACUACGCAAGAGGACUCUGGCCAGACUGCCGUUGACAAAACGGAGGAAGGUGGGGAUGACGUCAAAUCAUCAUGCCCUUUAUGACUUGGGCUACACACGUACUACAAUGGCGUUAAACAAAGAGAAGCAAGACCGCGAGGUGGAGCAAAACUCAGAAACAACGUCCCAGUUCGGACUGCAGGCUGCAACUCGCCUGCACGAAGUCGGAAUUGCUAGUAAUCGUGGAUCAGCAUGCCACGGUGAAUACGUUCCC